AGUGAACGCUGGCGGUAGGCCUAACACAUGCAAGUCGAACGGCAGCACAGUAAGAGCUUGCUCUUACGGGUGGCGAGUGGCGGACGGGUGAGGAAUACAUCGGAAUCUACUUUUUCGUGGGGGAUAACGUAGGGAAACUUACGCUAAUACCGCAUACGACCUACGGGUGAAAGCAGGGGAUCUUCGGACCUUGCGCGAUUGAAUGAGCCGAUGUCGGAUUAGCUAGUUGGCGGGGUAAAGGCCCACCAAGGCGAUGAUCCGUAGCUGGUCUGAGAGGAUGAUCAGCCACACUGAACUGAGACACGGUCCAGACUCCUACGGGAGGCAGCAGUGGGGAAUAUUGGACAAUGGGCGCAAGCCUGAUCCAGCCAUACCGCGUGGGUGAAGAAGGCCUUCGGGUUGUAAAGCCCUUUUGUUGGGAAAGAAAAGCAGCAGGUUAAUACCCCGCUGUUCUGACGGUACCCAAAGAAUAAGCACCGGCUAACUUCGUG
rnacentral:rRNA from 1 species